rnacentral:rRNA from 1 species
UCCGGAAUCCCGAAGAGAUUUGGGAGUGCUCGAAAGAGAGCCGGAACACAGGUGCUGCAUGGCUGUCGUCAGCUCGUGUCGUGAGAUGUUGGGUUAAGUCCCGCAACGAGCGCAACCCUUAUCAUUAGUUGCCAUCAUUCAGUUGGGCACUCUAAUGAGACUGCCGGUGACAAACCGGAGGAAGGUGGGGAUGACGUCAAGUCCUCAUGGCCCUUAUGGGUAGGGCUUCACACGUCAUACAAUGGUCGGUACAGAGGGUUGCCAACCCGCGAGGGGGAGCUAAUCUCACAAAGCCGAUCGUAGUCCGGAUCGCAGUCUGCAACUCGACUGCGUGAAGUCGGAAUCGCUAGUAAUCGUGGAUCAGCAUGUCACGGUGAAUACGUUCCCGGGUCUUGUACACACCGCCCGUCACACCAUGGGAGUGGGUUUCACCAGAAGUAGGUAGUCUAACCGCAAGGAGGGCGCUUACCACGGUGGGGUUCAUGACUGGGGUGAAGUCGUAACAAGGUAGCCGUAGGGGAACCUGCGGCUGGAUCACCUCCUUUAUG